UUUUACUAAAUCGAUGAAUUUAUGCCUUUGUAAGUUUGUAUAAAUCUCUGAAUAUUUUAAAAGAACAAUUGGAAUUUAUUUAUGAACAUGAAAUAUUUCUUUUAAAAAAAACAUUUUAAAGCAAAUGCACAACAAUAACUAUCACAACUAAAAUAUCAACUAUUAUUUGAUCACUUUGUACAGUGCAUAUUGUGCUGCACAAUCUGUGCACAAAGAGCACAAUCUUGUUAUUUUCCAAACAUUUCAACCUGCAAUCAGGUGGGCGUUUGGCGGGCGUUAAACGGGAAAUUAAAACCGAAACUACCGGUUCUUUUACGUAUAAUUUUUCGGUGCUAAAAAAAGUACCGGAAGAACCGAAUUUUUCGGUUAACCGCACAGCUCUAGAGCCCAUGUGCAUGUGAGGCAAAAUAAUGAUAAGAAUUUCAUGUCCUGCAUGUUGCAACAGCAAACUUCGGCCACAGAGGUGAAAAGAGAAUGCAAAUCACUAGCCAACAAACACCAACACUUGUUAACCUCGUGCACCUGCAGGGACUAGGGAGCUUUAGAUUUGACUACGAGUACGACUACGAGUACGAGAUUCGUCAAGCUAAACGCAUGCUGUAUGCUUACGCCAUCCCGUACUGACGCUAAAAAGUCGUAGCCGUCGCCCAUCUGAGUACGAAAUUGUGGAGAAACCUCGUAGUCCUCACGACUUUUCAAAAAAAAAAAAAAAGAAAGAAAGUUGGCUUUUUUUUGUUUUCCAAAAAUAAUUUGUAGCAUUUAUAUAGCGUUUAUCCGGCGCAAAUAAUAUAUUAGUACUAAAUAUCUGGCCUGUUUUUAUUGUUAUGACUUAUUUGCACGUUUUGUAGGGGAUUUUAGUCAGCAGGAGAUUUAGUUUAUGAAACUUUUUCUCUCGUUGUUGAUUUACUGUUAUAAAAGCAACGUUUGAAUGGAAACGAGAACGACUACGGUAACUUUCUCGCACGCGAUCAAAUCUCGUACUCGUAGUCGUAGUCAAAUCUAAAGCUCCCUACUGACUACUGGCUUGCAACAUGUACGCAGUGCGUACCUAUUUUUAAACAAUUACAUACUAGAAAUACAUGCGUGCAUGCAGCAACCCCUCGCAUUUUCAAAGCGAACAACUAUAGUUACAUGCAGUCAUCAUUCAAAACACAAUACUAUAUUAACAUAGAUAGUAACAUUUUUUCUACAAAAUGAGAAACGCAUGCAAUCGAAAC